GGCCUACGGGAGGCAGCAGUGGGGAAUAUUGCGCAAUGGGCGAAAGCCUGACCCAGCAACGCCGCGUGAAGGAAGAAGGCUUUCGGGUUGUAAACUUCUUUUCUCAGGGACGAAGAAAGUGACGGUACCUGAGGAAUAAGCCACGGCUAGCUACGUGCCAGCAGCCGCGGUAAUACGUAGGUGGCAAGCGUUAUCCGGAUUUAUUGGGUGUAAAGGGCGUGUAGGCGGGAACGCAAGUCCGAUGUGAAAACUCAGGGCUCAACCCUGAGCCUGCAUUUGAAACUGUGGUUCUUGAGUGCUGGAGG
rnacentral:rRNA from 1 species